UACGUAGGGUGCAAGCGUUAAUCGGAAUUACUGGGCGUAAAGGGUGCGUAGGCGGUAUUGUAAGCCAGAUGUGAAAUCCCCGGGCUCAACCUGGGAACUGCGUUUGGAACUGCAAUGCUAGAGUGUGUCAGAGGGGGGUAGAAUUCCACGUGUAGCAGUGAAAUGCGUAGAGAUGUGGAGGAACACCGAUGGCGAAGGCAGCCCCCUGGGAUAACACUGACGCUCAGGCACGAAAGCGUGGGGAGCAAACAGG
rnacentral:rRNA from 1 species